rnacentral:ncRNA from 1 species
AUAUAUAUGCAGGGGGACAACGUGCGUUGUUGAGAAGAUAAAAUCUGACCCUUUGAACCUGUUCGUUAAUACGAGUGUAGGGAGCAUUUAUUACAGAAUU